rnacentral:tRNA from 1 species
GUGGUAGUUACCGAGUAGGUCAAGGUGACGGUCUGAAAAACCGUUAAUGUGGGUUCGAUUCCCACCUACCACA